rnacentral:rRNA from 1 species
ACUUUUUGGUUUUGUAAUUGGAAUGAGUUAAGUAUAAACCCCUUUACAAGUAUCAAUUGGAGGGCAAGUCUGGUGCCAGCAGCCGCGGUAAUUCCAGCUCCAAUAGCGUAUAUUAAAGUUGUUGCAGUUAAAAAGCUCGUAGUUGGAUUUCUGUUAAUAAUUUUUAUAAAAUAUUUUGAAUAUUUAUAUAACAUUAACAUAAUUCAUAUUACUAUAUUUUUUAGUAUAUGAAAUUUUACCUUGA